rnacentral:rRNA from 1 species
GACGAACGCUGGCGGCGUGCUUAAUACAUGCAAGUCGAGCGAACAGGCGAUGCUCUUGCUGGGUGCUCGAGUGGCGAACGGGUGUGUAACACAUGUGUAACCUGCACUUGUAUGUGUGAUAACUCUAGGAGACUGCGGCUCAUACCGGGUAUGAGCUCCUGCUGCGUGGGGGGCGUUGGAAAGAUACGGCGGUUGUGGAUGGUUUGGCGGCUUAUCAGCUACUUGGGGGGGUAGUGGCUUACCAAGGCUGUGACGGGUAGCCGGCCUGAGAGGGGGACCGGGCACAAGGGUACUGAGAGACGGAGCAGAAGCCUACGGGACGCAGCAGGGGGGAAUAUGGCGGAAUGGGCGGGAGUCUGAUGCAGCAACGCCGCGUGCGGGAUGAUGGGCUUCGGGUGGUAAACAACUUUCGCCGUAGACGAAGAGGGAGUGACGGUAACGGGUAAGGAAGCCACGGCUAACUACGUG